rnacentral:lncRNA from 1 species
CACCUGCAGCAUAUGGAAGUUCCCAGGCUAGGAGUCAAAUAGGAGCUGUAGGAGCUGCAGCUGCCAGCCUACACCACAACCAGAGCCACACCAGAUCAAAGCCACAUCUGCAGCCUAUACCACAGCUUGCAGUAACAUCAGAUCCUUAACUUACUGAAUGAGGCCAGGGGUUGAACUCACAUCCUCAAGAAGAUAAUGUUGGGUUCUUAAACCACUGAGCUGCAAUGGGAACUCCGAAUAUCUUUGCUUUAGUUUCAUCCUUCACUGUAUUGUCUGAGUAUAGAUUUAUAAGAAGAUAAUCAUGUCUUCUAAGAAUUUAAAAAGUAUUACUCCUCUAACUUCUUUAUUAUAAUUUUGUUGUUGAGAAGUCAGGUGCCAUUCUGAUUUUUCAUAAUUUAUCAAUGAUUUCCCUUAAUAUCUCUCCCCAUCCCUAGUCUGGAAGCUUUAAAAUUUUUUCUCUUUAUCCUUCUGUUCUCAAUUUUUACUGAUGUUUUGUAAUAUAAGUCUUUUCUCAUUCAUUGUUCUGGACAUGUCUCAUUCACCUUGCUAGGCCAUUUCAAUUUGAAGACUUAUGAAAUACUAUAUUGAUAAGUAUAUUUCUUUGGCAAUUUCUUCAAUUAUCUCUCUUUUCCUAGGUCCAAUAUUUGGAUGUUGGACUUGAUGGAACUCGCCUCAAAUUUUGCUAACAUUUACAUUCUAUUGUCUGUUUUGUUUUUGUCCUCCUUUCAUAGAGAUUUCCUCAACUUUAUCUUUCAACCUUUUCUAUUUUAUAGUUUCAGCCUUUUCUAUUUUCUAUUCCUUUCUACAUUUUGUUCCAGUUUUCUUUUUUCUUCCUUUUUUUCUUUUCAAAUUCUCCCUUUCAAGUCAGACAUCUCUCUAAGUCCCUCAUCCACCCAGGGGCUUUUCAGUUUUCCGGAAGAGGGGCCCGUCUCCUGAAAGGGUGAAGUAUGUUGGUAGUGUUCUGGGAGCAGGGCAGGGAGGGAAGGCUGGCGCAGACUCUCACAUUAAUCCCCUGGUUUUAUUAAUCCCUGCUUUCCUGAUACUGGUACCACCAAGGCUUCAACCUUUUAUGUGGUCUCUGAAGCCAAUCAGCUUGCUUCUCAUGGGUCUUGCUUCUUGAGGGCACUUAAAUGAAACAGCUCCUGCUACACUAAGUCUGUCAUCAGUCCUCUACUUUCCACUUUCCAAAGAUGUAUUCAUCUCUUACUCACUGUGGGAUCUCUCUUUUCUCUUUCUCUUUGCAGUUUAUAACGUUUAAAAUUCUUUUACCAUUCUUUUUGAGGGAUUCAGGGAGGCUGAGAAGAUAAAAAUCAUGUUCUCAAUCUGCCACACUAAACUUGAAGUUCCAAAAAUACAAUUUUAAAGUAGAUUAUCUAGGGAUUAUCUAGUUCAAUUCCCUCAUUUAAUAGCUGAGGAAAGAAACAAAGACAGGUUAAAUGCUCUGCUGUAAAUUCCUUCUCCAAAUUCAGAGCAGAACCAGGGAUGUGAAGUGUCCUAUUAGUCCAGUGUUUCUUUGACUUCCAACAUGUCUUUCUAAGAAAAGCAUUUUGUUGGCCUUCUGGUUGAGAGAAAAGAAAUAUACCAUUGAACCGCCCAUGAAUUAUAUAAUUAAAGAGGAAACUAAUAACCAUGGGCGUAUGUACUGUUGCGUGUUAGUAAAAAUAAGUACCACAUGUUGAGAGAAGGAGAAAUCCUGAGGGCUAGGAUAAUUUCAAAGGGCUCCAUGAAGCAGCCAAGAUGUGCAUUUCAUCUUGUGGCAAGAACUGCAGGUAAUGAGUGAGUAAGGGCAGCGUGCUGGCAGAGGAUCUAUGUUGGGAGCAUUGAGGGAUCAGUGCCUCAUAGGCUUUUACCAAGGCUGCCUUCACGAAGGGUAGAAAUCACUCCUGCCCCAUGGCCCUUUCCUACCCCGUACUCUGACGAGCGUCUGGGACACACAAACCACCACAAUCACUGCUUGUUCUUCUGGACUCUGUCCAUCUGGACAAGUCAAUAUGAUUAUGUCGACGCCACGCUCUGAAGUGUGUACUAUGGAAUCAAUGAAUACUUGUUCAUUUUUUUUAUUAUAGUUACAUUAUCUGAUAGCCAUUUUCAAACUAUACGACCUCAAAUUUAUGACUCAGCUUCAAUAUUUCUGGGUGUUUAAAGACUCAAACAGUAAUUAUAGGACAAAGAUAGGACUAGGUGAGGUAGAAUUUUUAAAAUUCGACUGACUGGCACCAAAACCAUCCACAAUUUUCACACUUUUCUUCCUUUCUAUGAUAUAUGCCAAAAGAAAGUAGAAAGCAGGAAGAAACACUUUUUAAUAAUCAAUAAAAGCUUAAUAUAAUGUAUUUAAUACUUAUCUUCCUUAGGAAAUAGUAAGACUGGUAAAACACAGCAUCACUUAUUUUUGUUGUUGAUAUUUCAAGGCAGCUUUUGUAGCUAAAAUAUCAUGAAACCUUACUGCUCUCUGACCUUGGCAUAUACAAUGACUCUUUCAAUGGAAAAGGGCUAGUUUCUAUUUAACUUUGUUAACCUAACUAUAAAGGUGUAACUGGAUAUUUCAAAAUAAAACAAAUGCUUUCAGUUAAUGAUGCAUAAACAAACAAAAAGGACUUAAUCUCUGGCAAAACAUUUCCACACACUUCCUUUUAAAUUUUUUGCUUAUCUAAUUCCAUUGAAAUUGCAGGAAUAUUUAGAGAUUAAAAAUAUGUGUGCUUGAACUAUUUGUUUAGAACUGCAGUGGGAAUCCCCACUACUCAGAAUACAAUUAAGACUAUACUUUGAUGAAACUAAUGGGGGGAGGUAAAAAGGCAGAUCUUUUAAAUAUACUUAGAUUUAGUACAUAGACAUGAGUAUCCAUAGUUGUGGAUUCACUAAUGGUGAAGAAGCAUUCCCGAAUUUGCUCUUGAAGUAACCAAUUCAAGUCUAUGAAUCCCAUCCAAGCUUUCUCUGAUAGAGAAUUUUGCAGCACUCACUCUGAUUACAAGUAUUUAAAAGAGAACAAUAAAACCUAUUCUUGUACUCUUUACUUCAAAGGAAUUCUUGGAGGACAAAGGAUGACAAGAGCCACGAAGGAGCUCUGCAUAUUUUACUUUAAAAAAUGUACUCCCAUGAGGAUCAAUCAGAAAGAGGAAUGGCUACAAAAGGUCCAAUAUACUCUAGCAUCUAUCUUGCAGUAUCAAAAUCUGGUCUAUGUCCAACUGCCAAGCCACUCCAAAGCACUCCUGAAAGGCUGAAAAGCAAACUGGAAUAUCUUGGAGGUGAUUUUUGAAGUAACAUUAGACUAGCAAAAUCAGAAGCUUGCUUGGCCCAAGAAUCCUCUGACUCAAGAUCUUAUGUCCUUGCUUGAAUCCAGACCUACUUAGCCAGAAACUCUGGGAAUGGGACAAGGAAUAUAUGCUUAUAAAAUUCUUCAGGUUGAGAACCUCUACUCUCCAGGUCGUUAUUGCUCUUACUGAAGCCUAUCUGCUCAGGUCUAGACGAAUCAGGUCAGAGGCAAAAUCGGGAAGCUGUUUUCAUCAGAAAGUCUUGGGGAUUCAGGUCACUUUUCAUUCUUCCUAAAUCUGAGUUUAAUUCCUGCAACCCCAUAACACAAAGUCGUUCAAACUCCAGAAUCACCCAGAACUUAAAAACGCAGAUUCCAGGGUCCAUAUUUAUGGAGUCAGAUUUAGUAAUUUUGGUUAAGGCCCUGGAAUAUGUAUUUUUGAUGCAGAUUGGGUAAAGAUCAAUUUUAAAAACCAUAGCUUUGGAGUUCCCAUUGUGGCUCAGUGGAUUAAGAGCCCAACUAGUAUCCAUGAGGAUGUAGGUUCAAUCCCUGGCCUGGCUCAGUGUGUUAAGGAUCCGGCGUUGCCAUGAGCUGGGGCCUAGGUCACAGAUGUGGCUCAGAUCAAGUGUUGCUGUGGCUGUGGCUAUGGUACAACUAACAAAGGACCUGUUAAUUAGAAGCUAAUUUACAUAUGUCUACUCUGAAUCCAGUAAUUUUUUUCCUGGAAGAUAGUGUGUACAUUAAUGACUUCCAUUUGAUAAAAAUGUGUUCAAAUUUCUAUCCAAAACUGAAACUAUUUUAAGGUGAAGAAAACUGUUUCCUAAAAUAAAUGACUAAAAAUAGAACCAAAGAGAACUCUUAUGCAUAAAGUGCUUAAAUGCUUUGGUGCAGCAUCUGCGCCAUCAAAGAACUGUGUGAACGCCAUCAAAGAACUGCAAGAACAGCCCUAAUUCUUAGAAAAGUGUACAGUGCUAAUUCUCAGCUUUAGGAAUUGAUGAGGACAUUGAGGACAUCAUACAUUUGUGGUCAAGAACAAUGCCUCGAAAAUGUAAUAAUGGCCUCUCUCUUCCUACAAUCUUAAAGUUCCUACAAUCUUAUUUCCAGGCCUGGUUUUCUUGACUACUUCUGUUAAUCCAAUAGUUUAACAGGAGUAACUGGCUUUUUGGUACUUUGUCAAAAUCAUUAUAUGUGGGUUUGAUGUACCACCAGUGUCAUAUAAACAAAAAGGGUCCUUGGCCACAUAAAUAAGCAACAGACCAGGAAUAAAAUGGUUAGUGUAACAAUCUACUACUAUGUUGGUUUUAAGAAUAAUUAACUGGUUGUUGGCCAACUGUGGUUGACUAAUUCAGUUACCUGCCUGAUGAUAAUGAAGUCAAGGCAAUGUAUCCUUACUCCUCCCCUCUCCUUGAUUUUCCUUACCAACUGCCUGCUUUCAAAGCAUAAAUAUAUAUGCACGUAAUAAAUAUAUAUGCACAACCUGUUAAACUUACUAUGUUCCACGGUCCAUGACUACAAGUCAAACUACCACCAAGUACUUCAAAAUAUAAGCCUUGACUUUUAAGAAGGAUUUAAUAAAAGCAUGUGCUAGAAUCAGACACUGAUCAAUAACUAUUUCUAGAAAAAUAAACAGUUGCACACACUUACUGUGCAUCAACAGCUACCAGAUGUAUAUACAAUGGGCAACAUCAACAAUAUCCCAUAAGAGCCCUGGGGGUCCCUUCCAGUUAAGGCCUAUGAUUUUGAUUUUGUA